rnacentral:rRNA from 1 species
UACGGGGGGGGCAAGCGUUGUUCGGAAUUACUGGGCGUAAAGGGCUCGUAGGCGGCCAACUAAGUCGGAUGUGAAAUCCCCAGGCUUAACCUGGGAACUGCAUCCGAUACUGGAUGGCUUGAAUCCGGGAGAGGGAUGCAGAAUUCCAGGUGUAGCGGUGAAAUGCGUAGAUAUCUGGAGGAAUACCGGUGGCGAAGGCGACUCUUUGGCCUGUAACUGACGCUGAGGCGCGAAAGCGUGGGGAGCAAACAGG